GUGCUCACUCUGGCAGCACAUAUACUAAAAUUGGAACUAUACAGGGAAGAUUAGCAUCCCUGCACAAGGAUGGCAUGCAAAACCAUGGAGUAUUAUGUAUGUUU
ensembl:snRNA U6 U6 spliceosomal RNA